rnacentral:rRNA from 1 species
AGUGCAGUAAUGUACGUAGCUGAGCGAUACUAAUUGCCCGAUAGCUUGAACUUCUAA